AGGCUGAGGGGCAGAGAGCGAGACUUUUCUAUUUUCCAAAAGCUCGGUCUGAGGCCCCUCAGU
ncrna:Equus caballus (horse) microRNA eca-mir-423 precursor